AUGACGUUGAGAGCCGACCAGAUGCAACUCUCCCUCUACGGCAAGGUCUUCUCCAACUCCACCGACGUCGCCAUGCUGAUGAUGGCAGGAGGCGGCGUGUGGAGGCUGGCGCCCCCGCAUGAUGGCAUCGAGCCCGUCGCCACGGUGGAGGCCGGCACGUGGAGGCUGCGGCACACGCGCAAUGCUGUCGAGGACGCGGUCCACCACGAGGGCAGGUUCUACUCCAUCACAUACUCUGGCCAGGUGGAAACAUGGGUGGAGCGCGAUGCCGACGCCCCUGACGUGUUCUUGAGCGUGGUGAUCGCGCCGAGGCUGCUGCUGCCGGCCGACACGGACCACCAGAAGUACCUUGUGGCGGCACCGGGGGGCCCGCUGAUGGUCGUGCUCAAGGAGACCACGGGUCGACGGAUGUCGCCAUCCUUCAAGGUGCAGGUCAUCGACGCUGGCAGGGAGGGGUGGAAGGAGACGGACGACAUCGGCGACAUCGCGCUGUUCAUCGUGCUGAACGGUUCCGUCUGCAUGUCCACGAGGGAGCACCGAGGAUGA
rnacentral:rRNA from 1 species